UACGUAGGUGGCAAGCGUUGUCCGGAUUUACUGGGUGUAAAGGGCGUGUAGACGGAGAAGCAAGUUAGUUGUGAAAUCCCUCGGCUUAACUGAGGAACUGCAACUAAAACUACUUCCCUUGAGUACUGGAGAGGAAAGUGGAAUUCCUAGUGUAGCGGUGAAAUGCGUAGAUAUUAGGAGGAACACCAGUGGCGAAGGCGACUUUCUGGACAGUAACUGACGUUGAGGCACGAAAGUGUGGGGAGCAAACAGG
rnacentral:rRNA from 1 species